UUCCCGACCCAGGGAUCGAACCCAGGUUUCCCACAUUGCAGGCAGCUGCUUAACCGUCUGAGCCACCAGGGA
rnacentral:tRNA from 1 species